rnacentral:rRNA from 1 species
ACUCCUACGGGAGGCAGCAGUGGGGAAUAUUGCACAAUGGGGGAAACCCUGAUGCAGCCAUGCCGCGUGUGUGAAGAAGGCCUUCGGGUUGUAAAGCACUUUCAGUAGGGAGGAAGGUAGUGUAGUUAACACCUGCACUAUUUGACGUUACCUACAGAAGAAGCACCGGCUAACUCCGUGCCAGCAGCCGCGGUAAUACGGAGGGUGCGAGCGUUAAUCGGAAUUACUGGGCGUAAAGCGCAUGCAGGCGGCCUGUUAAGUCAGAUGUGAAAGCCCGGGGCUUAACCGUCGGAAUUGCAUUUGAAACUGGCAGGCUAGAGUCUUGUAGAGGGGUUAGAAUUUCAGGUGUAGCGGUGAAAUGCGUAGAGAUCUGAAGGAAUACCAGUGGCGAAGGCGGCCCCUGGCAAAGACUGACGCUCAGAUGCGAAAGCGUGGGAGCAAACAGGAUUAGAUACCCCUGGUAGACUGUCA